AAACUGAAGAGUUUGAUCCUGGCUCAGAUUGAACGCUGGCGGCAUGCUUUACACAUGCAAGUCGAACGGCAGCACGGGGGCAACCCUGGUGGCGAGUG
rnacentral:rRNA from 1 species